AUGCCUAUGAUGAUAUCGGUUAACAAAAUACCAUCUUUCGGGACUGAAUGGCUAUUCAAGCCUUGCUGUCAAUCCGCUAUUCUGAGGCAU